UACUUACGAGUAUGUAUGUGGGCCAUUAAGUUACAUACGAUCAGAGACGAAGCACCUUCUACGCACAAUCAUAUUCAUAGCUUAGCACGUGAAGCCACGUCUUUUCUUUUUCACUUUACCUAAACAGCCUUUACCUAUUUACUAUACUGUCCCGCUACUUUUUUGAUUAUUUCUUUUAUUAAUCAGGUGUUAUUUAUUUGCAAUAAAUAUACAUAUAUAUAUAUGUAUAGAAGUGGGGAUAUAUAUGUAUAUGUGCAUGUAGAUCUGAAGGACAAAAAAUGUUCCAGAGAAAUUUCUACAUCUCUAA
rnacentral:lncRNA from 1 species